UGGGGAAUAUUGCACAAUGGGCGCAAGCCUGAUGCAGCGACGCCGCGUGAGUGAAGAAGUAUUUCGGUAUGUAAAGCUCUAUCAGCAGGGAAGAAAAUGACGGUACCUGACUAAGAAGCUCCGGCUAAAUACGUGCCAGCAGCCGCGGUAAUACGUAUGGAGCAAGCGUUAUCCGGAUUUACUGGGUGUAAAGGGAGCGUAGACGGAAUUGCAAGUCUGAUGUGAAAGGCGGGGGCUCAACCCCCGGCACUGCAUUGGAAACUGUAAAUCUUGAGUGCCGGAGAGGUAAGCGGAAUUCCUGGUGUAGCGGUGAAAUGCGUAGAUAUCAGGAGGAACACCAGUGGCGAAGGCGGCUUACUGGACGGUAACUGACGUUGAGGCUCGAAAGCGUGGGGAGCAAACAGGAUUAGAUACCC
rnacentral:rRNA from 1 species